CAAGAAACUCAGGGAAACUCUGGAACAGCCAAGCUCUCAUCUUCAAUGACUGCAGAAAGUUCUGAGGCUUCAGUGUGAAUGAAGCUCAUAUAAAGUAAAGAAUAUUUUGCUAGUGCUGUACUGGUUCCUCAGAUGAUAGUAAUAUUAUUCUUAUCCCAGAAUAAUGGUGUAUUCUUUGUACAGUGUUUCAGAAGUGGAAUGUCAUAAAAAUCAUAUCACCCUCCAACUUCCACAUGACACCAGUAAUUCCUAGUCUGGACUAGGAAUGUGUGCUGUUUUUAGACUGGGAUGUAAUUAAUUUUCUUCGCAGUACCUAAUGUUGCCCUGUGUCUUGGAUUCAUGAUGAAAACUAUGCUGAUAACCCAGGGAUGUUUUCGUUAUGGAUGAGCUUUUCUCACACAGAGCCAAGGCCUCUUCUGCUCCUUACCAACCCCACUAGUAAGGAGGGUGGUAUGCACAAGGACACAGCCAGGACAGCUGAUCCCAAAUGACCCAGUGCAUAUCACAUCCCAUACAGCAACAUGCUCAGCAUAUAAAUCUGGGGGAGAAGAAGUACGUGGGUCACGCUUAGAGUGAUGACAUUUUGUCUUCCCAGGUCCCACUGCAUGUGAUGGGACCCUGCUUUCCUGGACAUGGCCAAACACUUUCCUGACAUGGGAAGUGAUGAAUAAAUUCCUUGGUUUGCUUUGCUUGA